rnacentral:misc_RNA from 1 species
CUAGCAAUACAAGACAAAUCUGGGUCAAGUUCAUUCCAACAGGAAGUGAAAGAAUACAAGGGAAAUCUAUUUAUAAAUAAAUUUUUACAUCUAGGAACAAAAAAUUGAUCUCGAUUUCUUAAGGGGUAUUGGUGCAUCUCAAUAUCUGAAUUCCUGGGGAACACUGGAUCCAUAUAGAAAGAAGGAGGGGCAAAAGAGCUAAAAUGUUUUACAAGAUCUGCAUUUUAAAACUUUUUCUUUAAUGUAUAUUUAUUUCAGAUAAAAUGAGGAGCUUGGUGUUGCUGUUUUUACCGUCCUUGGCGCUAGCUGCUCCGAAACCAGAUUCUAGUAGUAGUUACGGAGCUCCCCAUGCGCCAGUGUACGAUAGUUACAGUGCACCCCCCGCCCCAACCUACGCUAAACAGCAGUACUACCCACCUCAACAGCAGUACGUUAACCCGCCAGAUUCUCAUGUACAUCAUCAUUAUUAUCACCAGGCUCAGCCCGUUGUUCAGGUUCCAAUCACUCCUCAGCCAUAUGUUGUUCAGGUUCCUCAAAACGUUCCAGUUCAGUUUGUUCCCAUCAAUGUAGAUGUUCCACCACCACAGUAUCAAACUGUUCCUGUACACCUAGCUCCUCAACAGGGAUAUGUACUUCCAGACCGAUCUGAAUGCUACGACUAUGAUUUGGAAUGUUUGGGAAACAUUGGCAGAGAUUUUGGUCUUCCCAUUCCUCAUCCUUAUCAAGGUCCUGUAGCAGCCCCGUACCAGUAUCCAGGUCCUUCUCCUUAUGCAGGUUCUCCUUUCGGAGGAGGAGGAUUAGCAGCCCCAUACCAGUAUCCAGGUCCUUCUCCUUAUGCAGGUUCUCCUUUCAGAGGAGGAUUAGGUUCUCUUUUUGGAGGAGGAUUAGGUAAAUAUAAAACCUCAUCCGACCCUACCAGCUUAGCCACCCCUGUUUACCUCAUCCCUAUCCCAUCUACCUUUAUUUACCUCUAUACGUACCUUAUCUACCACUUCCUACCACAUCCCUAUCCCAUCUACCUCUAUUUACCCCUAUAAGUACCUUAUCUAAAACUUUCCACCACAAUCCUACCCCAUCUACCACCCGAUUUACCUCCCAAUACCAUGUAACUAUCCAAUCCUACUCCCCACAACCCUAUAACUAUCUAAUCCUACUCCCCACUACCCUGUAAAUAUCUACUCCUACUCCCCACUACCCUAUAAUAUCCUAGACUGAAGACGAUACAUGGAUAAUUUGACUUUAAAACACCUUCAGACUUCGAUGGUGUUUAGUUUAUACAAACGAUAAUUAAAGUCGUAUAAAUCUAACAACACACAUGACUGUUACUAACACGACUGGGCUCAUAACGUAUGAUUCGUUGUGAUUAAAGGGAUCGUUGACGUAAUUUAAAAAAGAGAAGCUUGUCCGAUUCACAAGGGUACUCUUUAAACCUUUGCCUGAGCAAAAAUGGAGAAAAUAUCUUUGUUUUUUUAUCAAUUAAAAAUUGAUAAUUUUUAGUCGUGGUUUCUCGAUGAAGGUUACUGAUUUUGCAACAAAGACAAAUAACGAAAUUUGCAUAAUGUUCCAAGGUCGAAGAAUGACAUUAUCUUUCCCAAUGUUACUCAGAUAAACAUUUAAAAAGAGUUCCGUUUUGAAUUGAGCUUGCCAAUCUUUAAAUGAAGGUUCACUCUUGAAGUUACGUCACAGUCUCUGUAAUUCAUCAAAAAAGAAAACAUUGAUGAAAUUGGUAAAAAUUUCGUUAAAUAUUUUUGUGUUUUUUUAUUGUAAGAAUAAUUUCGAACCAAAUAAAAGAACAAAAAAGUCUUUAAAUCAAUACAAAAAUUUUCCCUUUUUGGGGUCAUAUUCCGACUGUAUUUCAGGAGGUUUUUGGGAUCAUAUUCCGACUGUAUUUCAGGAGGUUUUUGGGGUCAUAUUCCGACUGUAUUUCAGGAGGUUUUUGGGGUCAUAUUCCG